GAUGAACGCUGGCGGCGUGCCUAAUACAUGCAAGUCGAGCGAACCUACGAUGAGAUCGCUCCCUUGCCGUUAGCGGCGGACGGGUGAGUAACAAGUAGGUAACCUACCUGUAAGACUGGGGUAACUACGGGGAACCGGAGACACUACCGGAUAAUCUUACGAACCGUAAGGAUCGUUAGCGCAUGGUGGCUUUGUCAUAGGUGAUCGUCGUACCGCCGUCGUAUUAGCUAGUUGGUAAGGUACCGGCUUACCAAGGCAACGAUGCGUAGCCGACCUGAGAGGAUGAUCGGCCACACUGGAACUGAGACACGGCCCAGACUCCUACGGGAGGCAGCAGUAGGGAAUCUUCCGCAAUGGGCGAAAGCCUGACGGAGCAACGCCGCGUGGGUGAAGAAGGUCUUCGGAUCGUAAAACCCUGUUGUUAGGGAAGAAAAAGCGUGUGAGUAACUGUGCACGUCUUGACGGUACCUAAUCAGAAAGCCACGGCUAACUACGUG
rnacentral:rRNA from 1 species